CUCGUUAUAUGCUCACCGUCGCGACCCCUCUUCCCCAUUCUUGAGGUCGCGCUCGCCCUCUUCCUCUCCGCUUUCUCUUCUGUUUCCUGCUGUCUGGUCGCCGAGUUCCUCAUCGUGGUAGCAGGAUUGUGGCUCGAUUCGUCAGUGUUUUGAGGCAAAUCUUGGCCGGAUCUGUGCUGGUUGAUCUCGUUGGAGUUGAAAAG